UAGGGAAUCUUCCACAAUGGACGCAAGUCUGAUGGAGCAACGCCGCGUGAGUGAAGAAGGUUUUCGGAUCGUAAAGCUCUGUUGUUGGUGAAGAAGGAUAGAGGCAGUAACUGGUCUUUAUUUGACGGUAAUCAACCAGAAAGUCACGGCUAACUACGUGCCAGCAGCCGCGGUAAUACGUAGGUGGCAAGCGUUGUCCGGAUUUAUUGGGCGUAAAGCGAGCGCAGGCGGAAUGAUAAGUCUGAUGUGAAAGCCCACGGCUCAACCGUGGAAUUGCAUCGGAAACUGUCAUUCUUGAGUGCAGAAGAGGAGAGUGGAAUUCCAUGUGUAGCGGUGGAAUGCGUAGAUAUAUGGAAGAACACCAGUGGCGAAGGCGGCUCUCUGGUCUGCAACUGACGCUGAGGCUCGAAAGCAUGGGUAGCGAACAGG
rnacentral:rRNA from 1 species